CAGCAUGUUUCCAAGGGCUGUGGCAGGUUGUAGCCACAGGCUCUCCAACUGCAUGUGAGAGCAACAUGGAAACUGACAGCUCAGGUCAGCAUGAUACCUGCAGCGGCCACUUGCCUUUCCUAUAACA